UACGUAGGGUGCGAGCGUUGUCCGGAAUUACUGGGCGUAAAGAGCGUGUAGGCGGCCACGCAGGUCCGUUGUGAAAACUGGAGGCUCAACCUCCAGCUGUCGACGGAAACCGUAUGGCUAGAGUCCGGAAGAGGAGAGUGGAAUUCCUGGUGUAGCGGUGAAAUGCGCAGAUAUCAGGAGGAACACCGGUGGCGAAGGCGGUUCUCUGGGAAUAUCCUGACGCUGAGGAGCGAAAGUGUGGGGAGCGAACAGG
rnacentral:rRNA from 1 species